AGAGUUUGAUCCUGGCUCAGGAUGAACGCUAGCGGGAGGCUUAACACAUGCAAGUCGAGGGGCAGCACGAUGUAGCGAUACGUUGGUGGCGACCGGCGCACGGGUGAGUAACGCGUAUGCAACCUACCCUGUACAGGGGGAUAGCCCGGAGAAAUUCGGACUAAUACCCCAUAAAGAUAUAAAGAGGCAUCUUUUUAUAUUUAAAGUUUCGGCGGUACGGGAUGGGCAUGCGGAACAUUAGCUAGUUGGCGGGGUAACGGCCCACCAAGACGAUGAUGCGUAGCCGACCUGAGAGGGUGACCGGCCACACUGGUACUGAGACACGGACCAGACUCCUACGGGAGGCAGCAGUGAGGAAUAUUGGUCAAUGGGCGCAAGCCUGAACCAGCCAUCCCGCGUGCAGGAUGACGGCCCUAUGGGUUGUAAACUGCUUUUAUACACCAAGAAAAAUCCCCACGUGUGGGGACCCGACGGUAGUGUAUGAAUAAGCAUCGGCUAACUCCGUGCCAGCAGCCGCGGUAAUACGGAGGAUGCAAGCGUUAUCCGGAUUCAUUGGGUUUAAAGGGUGCGUAGGCGGCUUUUUAAGUCAGUGGUGAAAUCCUGCCGCUUAACGGUAGAAUUGCCAUUGAUACUGAAAAGCUUGAGUAUGGUUGAGGUAGGUGGAAUGUGUUGUGUAGCGGUGAAAUGCAUAGAUAUGACACAGAACGCCGAUUGCGAAGGCAGCUUACUAAGCCAUUACUGACGCUGAGGCACGAAAGCGUGGGGAUCGAACAGGAUUAGAUACCCUGGUAGUCCACGCCGUAAACGAUGUUCACUCGCUGUUUGCGAUACACAGUAAGCGGCUGAGCGAAAGCAUUAAGUGAACCACCUGGGGAGUACGAUCGCAAGGUUGAAACUCAAAGGAAUUGACGGGGGCCCGCACAAGCGGAGGAACAUGUGGUUUAAUUCGAUGAUACGCGAGGAACCUUACCUGGGCUUAAAUGUAGAUUGCAUGAGGUGGAAACACUUCUUCCCUUCGGGGCUAUUUACAAGGUGCUGCAUGGUUGUCGUCAGCUCGUGCCGUGAGGUGUCGGGUUAAGUCCCAUAACGAGCGCAACCCCUAUCGUUAGUUGCCAGCGGAUAAUGCCGGGGACUCUAAGGAGACUGCCGGUGUCAAACCGGAGGAAGGUGGGGAUGACGUCAAAUCAGCACGGCCCUUAUGUCCAGGGCGACACACGUGCUACAAUGGCCGAUACAAAGGGCAGCUACCAGGUGACUGGAUGCGAAUCUCAAAAACCUGUCUCAGUUCGGAUCGGAGUCUGCAACUCGACUCCGUGAAGUCGGAUUCGCUAGUAAUCGCGCAUCAGCCAUGGCGCGGUGAAUACGUUCCCGGGCCUUGUACACACCGCCCGUCAAGCCAUGGAAGUUGGGGGUGCCUAAAGUUCGUGACCGCAAGGAGCGACCUAGGGUAAAACCAAUGACUGGGGCUAAGUCGUAACAAGGUAACCA
rnacentral:rRNA from 1 species